rnacentral:misc_RNA from 1 species
GUAGGUGAACCUGCGGAAGGAUCAUUAAUACUUUAUUAAAUUUUUUUUUGCACUGAGCUUCUGAAGGGAGAUACUUCUUUUUUGAUUUAUUUUCUUUUCAGUUGUUCAAUUUUCUCGCAAAAACGUUUUUUUCCUUUUUGGGUUUCAUGUACAAGCUACUGAUCCCAACCUCUUUCUUUUUAAACCCCUUACUGUUAUUUUUCGUUACGUUUUGGUGAAGUGUCGGAAGUAAAUCAAAGGGGGGAAGUAG